GACGCAGAAAUCCGGCGAAAUACAUGCGACUUUUAAUCAUUGGGUCCAGGGUUCGAGUCCCUGUGUCCCCA
rnacentral:tRNA from 1 species